GCACCGAAGCUGCGGCAGCGAUAUGUAAAUAUUGUUGGGUAGGGGAGCGUUCUGUAAGCCUGUGAAGGUGUGCUGUGAGGCAUGCUGGAGGUAUCAGAAGUGCGAAUGCUGACAUAAGUAACGAUAAUGCGGGUGAAAAACCCGCACGCCGGAAGACCAAGGGUUCCUGUCCAACGUUAAUCGGGGCAGGGUGAGUCGACCCCUAAGGCGAGGCAGAAAUGCGUAGUCGAUGGGAAACGGGUUAAUAUUCCCGUACUGGUGAUAAUUGCGAUGGGGGGACGGAGAAGGUUAGGCUGGCCGGGCGACGGUUGUCCCGGUUUAAGGAUGUAGGCAGGUGAAUUAGGCAAAUCCGGUUCACUAUAUGCUGAGGUCUGAUGACGAGUCACUACGGUGGCGAAGUAGCUCAUACCCCGCUUCCAGGAAAAGCCUCUAAGCUCUAGAUUAUCAUUAAUCGUACCCCAAACCGACACAGGUGGUCAGGUAGAGAAUACUCAGGCGCUUGAGAGAACUCGGGUGAAGGAACUAGGCAAAAUGGUGCCGUAACUUCGGGAGAAGGCACGCUGGCAUUAGGUGAAGUGAUUUACUCAUGGAGCUGAAGCCAGUCG
rnacentral:rRNA from 1 species